AUUUAAGUAGUUUAUUAAAAAUAUUGAUUUGUGGUGUCAAUGAUAUGAAUUUUAUUCAUCUUAGAUC
rnacentral:tRNA from 1 species